rnacentral:rRNA from 1 species
GACGAACGCUGGCGGCGUGCCUAAUACAUGCAAGUCGAGCGAAGUUUUUCUGGUGCUUGCACCGGAAAAACUUAGCGGCGAACGGGUGAGUAACACGUAAAGAACCUGCCUCAUAGACUGGGACAACUAUUGGAAACGAUAGCUAAUACCGGAUAAUAGCAUUAACUGCAUGGUUGAUGUUUAAAAGUUGGUUUUGCUAACACUAUGAGAUGGCUUUGCGGUGCAUUAGCUAGUUGGUGGGGUAAAGGCCUACCAAGGCGACGAUGCAUAGCCGACCUGAGAGGGUGAUCGGCCACACUGGGACUGAGACACGGCCCAGACUCCUACGGGAGGCAGCAGUAGGGAAUCUUCCGCAAUGGGCGAAAGCCUGACGGAGCAACGCCGCGUGAGUGAAGAAGGAUUUCGGUUCGUAAAGCUCUGUUGUUAGGGAAGAAUGGUUGUGUAGUAACUAUACACAGUAGAGACGGUACCUAACCAGAAAGCCACGGCUAACUACGUG